rnacentral:rRNA from 1 species
UAGAUACCCCACUAUGGCUUGCCUUAAAUCUUGACACUUCCCCAACCAAAGUGUCCGCCUGGGAAUUUACGAGCACAAACGCUUAAAACUCUGAGGACUUGGCGGUGCCUCAAACCCACCUAGAGGAGCCUGUUCUAUAAUCGAUAACCCACGCUACACCCGACCGCUCUUCGCUCAUUCAGCCUACAUACCGCCGUCGCCAGUCCACCUAUCCUGAAAGAACAACAGUGGGCGCAACAGCCCUAACCACGCUAGAAAGACAGGUCAAGGUAUAGCCCAUAGAGCGGAAGAAAUGGGCUACAUUUUCUAACCUAGAAAACUACGAAAGGGGGCAUGACACUUCCCCAGAAGGCGGAUUUAGCAGUAAAGUUGGACUACAAUGCCACCUUAAAACUGGCCCCGGGGCACGUACAUACCGCCCGUCACCCCCCUCACAAGCUAUUAACACAAGUAAUUAACAUCAUCUCUA